rnacentral:rRNA from 1 species
GAAGAUGUAGGCGCGAGUGGCGGACGGGUGAGUAACGCGUGAGUAAUCUGCCUCAUACAGGAGAAUAACACUAAGAAAUUGGUGCUAAUACUCCAUAAGCUCACAUUAUGACAUCAUAGAGUGAGAAAAGAUUUAUCGGUAUGAGAGGAGCUCGCGUCUGAUUAGCUAGUUGGUGGGGUAACGGCCUACCAAGGCAACGAUCAGUAGCCGACCUGAGAGGGUGAUCGGCCACAUUGGAACUGAGACACGGUCCAAACUCCUACGGGAGGCAGCAGUGGGGAAUAUUGCACAAUGGGGGAAACCCUGAUGCAGCAACGCCGCGUGAAGGAAGAAGUAUUUCGGUAUGUAAACUUCUAUCGACAGGGAAGAAACAAAUGACGGUACCUGAAUAAGAAGCACCGGCUAAAUACGUGCCAGCAGCCGCGGUAAUACGUAUGGUGCAAGCGUUAUCCGGAUUUACUGGGUGUAAAGGGUGAGUAGGCGGUCAUGCAAGUCAUAUGUGAAAUGUCAGGGCUUAACCUUGGCGCUGCAUAAGAAACUGUAUGACUAGAGUGCAGGAGAGGUAAGCGGAAUUCCUAGUGUAGCGGUGAAAUGCGUAGAUAUUAGGAAGAACACCGGUGGCGAAGGCGGCUUACUGGACUGUUACUGACGCUGAGUCACGAAAGCGUGGGGAGCAAACAGGAUUAGAUACCCUGGUAGUCCACGCCGUAAACGAUGAGUGCUAGGUGUUGGCCAGAGAUGGUCGGUGCCGCAGCA